rnacentral:sRNA from 1 species
GAUUUUGGUUAAAAUAUUCAAAAUGGCGGACGGAGGAGCAGCGAGUCAAGAUGAGAGUUCAGCCGCGGCGGCAGCAGCAGCAGCUACUACUGGGCUGUAAACAGUGAUGCCAGCAAAAUGUUACUUCAGCUGAUGAAGUGAUGCUGUUUCGAGAAUUUGAAAGCAAUUUUUCAGUGGAUAAAGAAGUUGACAGCACGAUUUGUUGGAUGUGAUGAAGGAUUAAUCAGCAUACACCUUCACUUGUAUUAGCUUAAGAUGGAAUGGUUCUGGGCAAUAUAAAAUAACAGACUGGAAAAGUAAGAAGAGCUUUCCUGCCUUUUUAAUUACCAAACUACUCUCAGUUUUCAAUGAAUCAGUUCAAAGAAAGAAUGCAGUCUUUCUAUACCUGACUCAAGAAUGAACAAUCCGUCAGAAACCAGUAAACCAUCUAUGGAGAGUGGAGAUGGCAACACAGGCACACAAACCAAUGGUCUGGACUUUCAGAAGCAGCCUGUGCCUGUAGGAGGAGCAAUCUCAACAGCCCAGGCGCAGGCUUUCCUUGGACAUCUCCAUCAGGU